rnacentral:misc_RNA from 1 species
UCUCGCUGUACUUCACCAUUUCUUCAACUUUCGAAAGAGGUGGAAAGAGUUUUGAGAUCUUCUACUCAGGUGGGAUGAGGCCAAUUUUCUGUGGGAAUGUUGAGUAUAAUGCCAGACAGUCAGAGUUGGAGAGGCUUUUCAGAAGAUAUGGGAGAGUGGAUAGAGUGGAUAUGAAAUCUGGUAAGCCUCGAAAAUCUUGGUUUUAUGUGUUAUUUCUUACUUGAUAUUGGAGGUGCUAAUUGGUCUUCUGGUUGGGUUUACUUCGUGUCCAGAACUAUCUAUACACACCGACCUUUCUUGUCCUGAAUCUCAUUCCUACAAGAUUAUACAUGUUAGCUAUACCAAAAAAAGUUUUUUUGUAAGAUGAAUUAUAUGGCCAACGAACUCCAAUUAGAGCUUUCCUGCUGUGGUGGUCUUAUAUAUAUUAAUUUAUUUAUUUUCUUUUGGCUGAUUAUAGGGUAUCACAAUCUUGACCAUCUCAACCGCAUUACCAAGCCUCAGGCCACCGAAAUGCGUCAACGACACCGGUUGCGUUCCUGCAAACAGCAAGCAACUGACAGUUCUAUAUCUAGCCAUGUACAUGUACGCCCUUGGCACCGGCGGUCUCAAAUCAAGUGUCUCGGGUUUUGGUUCGGACCAGUUUGAUGAGACAGACCCGAAAGAGAGGAAGCAAAUGGCCAGCUUCUUCCAUUGGUUCUUCUUUUUAAUAAACAUUGGCUCACUUUGUGCAGUUACAGUUCUUGUUUACAUACAAGAUAAUAUAGGGAGAAGAUGGGGAUAUGGCAUGUGUGCUUGUGCUAUUGUACUAGGCCUAAUCCUGUUUCUGUCUGGCACAAGGCGAUAUCGAUUCAAGAAAUUGGCAGGUAGUCCAUUGACACAGAUUGCCACAGUGUUUGUGGGUGCUUGGAGGAAAAGGCACUUAGAAAUGCCUUCCGAUCCAUCAUUUCUUUACGAUCUUGAUGUUAUUGAAGAGGGAAGCAAGAAGAACAAGCAAAAACUUCCCCACAGCAGACAAUUACGUUUCCUGGAUGGAGCAGCAAUCAAGGAUCCAGAAACCACUGUGAUAAACAAGUGGAAUCUAUCAACCUUAACAGAUGUUGAGGAAGUGAAAAUGGUGCUUAGAAUGUUACCCAUUUGGGCUACUACUAUCAUGUUUUGGACGGUGUAUGCCCAAAUGACCACAUUUUCUGUGUCACAAGCAACAACAAUGGACCGUCACAUUGGUAAAUCUUUCCAGAUACAGCCAGCCUCCCUAACUGUCUUCUUCGUUGGUAGCAUUCUCUUGACUGUGCCAGUUUAUGACAGACUUAUAGUUCCAAUUGCUAAAAAAUUUCUCAAGAACCCACAUGGCCUAACCCCAUUGCAACGCAUAGCUGUGGGUCUGGUCUUCUCCAUUGUUGCAAUGAUAGCAGCAGCACUCUGCGAAUUAAAGAGGUUAAGAGCCGCAAGAUCACAUGGUUUGACCAACGAUCCAACUGCAGAGAUCCCAUUAAGUGUGUUCUGGCUGGUCCCUCAGUUUUUCUUUGUGGGGUCUGGUGAAGCAUUUACAUAUAUUGGGCAGCUUGAUUUCUUCCUAAGGGAGUGCCCUAAAGGAAUGAAGACAAUGAGCACAGGGCUAUUUUUGAGCACUCUUUCACUAGGAUUUUUCUUUAGCUCUUUGCUGGUUACUAUAGUGCACAAGGUGACAGCGAACAAGCCAUGGCUAGCAGAUAAUCUGAACCACGGCAAGCUUUAUGAUUUCUACUGGCUGUUGGCCACUUUGAGUGCUUUGAACUUUGUGAUAUUUUUAGCUUGUGCUAAAUGGUAUGUCUACAAGGACAAGAGGUUAGCUGAGGCAGGCGUCGAACUGGAGGAACUUGAUGAGCCUGCUAUGCACUGAAGGAUUUUUUCUUCUUUUAAUUAUUACUAUUUUUUUUUGUGACACAUGCUUGCACGCUCAUCUUAUAAUUUUU